UACGUAGGGUGCGAGCGUUGUCCGGAAUCAUUGGGCGUAAAGCGCGUGUAGGCGGUCAAUUAAGUCGGGUGUGAAAUCCCUCGGCUCAACCGGGGAAGUGCAUUCGAAACUAAUUGGCUGGAGAGUGGUAGAGGAAGGUGGAAUUCCAAGUGUAGAGGUGAAAUUCGUAGAUAUUUGGAGGAAUACCGGCGGCGAAGGCGGCCUUCUGGACCAUUUCUGACGCUGAGACGCGAAAGCGUGGGGAGCAAACAGG
rnacentral:rRNA from 1 species